CUACAAGCUGUUUCCCAUGUCUAUCCCGCUUGCUGUAAGUAUGCAUGAUAGAGUUUAAAGAAGUCAAUGCUCCUCAUAUUUCUGUUUGAAUGACACUAAGAAUGCUCAUGUAAAACUGGCAGGAAAUGGUAGAUUUCCUAAUGGAUUUUUGGGAGCUGGAAGGACUGUACGAUUGACAUGUUUGUAAGUAAAGGAUUAUUUUAUCGAUGAAUGAUGAACAGUCAAGUAGUGACAGACACUUAGAUAGGCUGAUGUAAAUUUGAUUUGCUUCGUGACUGGGAAGGUAGGAGGUUACUAAUGGAGUUUCUCUAAUGAAAUGUAAUUAACUUCUGGCAAAUUGAAACAUUUUGUACUGAUAAAGGCGUGUUUAGACAAGAAUUAAUUGAUAUUUUAAAGAAAAUAUUUGCAAGUUGAGAUUGUGUUUGAAUAUGUUUAUACAUACUAUUUGAUAUUUGAGUUUUUCUGAGUGAAAACUUGUCUGUACAACAAAAUCAACAGAUAUAUGUCCUUUAGAAUCUUUCAUGGUGUGAAAUGACACGACCUUUUCCAGAAAAA
rnacentral:lncRNA from 1 species